UACGGGGGGGGCAAGCGUUGUUCGGAAUUACUGGGCGUAAAGGGCUCGUAGGUGGCCAACUAAGUCAGACGUGAAAUCCCUCAGCUUAACUGGGGAACUGCGUCUGAUACUGGAUGGCUUGAGUUUGGGAGAGGGAUGCGGAAUUCCAGGUGUAGAGGUGAAAUUCGUAGAUAUUCGGAGGAACACCAGUGGCGAAGGCGGCUCACUGGCUCGGUACUGACGCUGAGGUGCGAAAGCGUGGGGAGCAAACAGG
rnacentral:rRNA from 1 species